AGCUCCUUCGUUCUCCUCUCAUUGGUCGAUUUCUGAACUUCCGCCAUAUUCAAAAACACGAACCUCUGCUAGUGAUGUAGAUUAGUAGAAUAUAUGUAAUGUUAUUGUUCUGAGUUAUUCAGUAGCACGUAGUUAAACAAUAACCGGGUAGUUUAUAACAUUUAAAAUGAGUGAACCCGCCGAAGCUCCCUGUUUCUACUUCAGAGAAACUAAAAAGACAAGCGAGCUCCAGGAUCCUGAGCAGGAAGUUUUCCCUGGAUGAAGGAGAGUCUCCCCUGGAGAACAACAACAACAGUCUGAGACGGAAUGUUGUUUUUCUUCUUCAACCAGUGGUCUCCAUUUAUUAAGAGGUCGAAGCUUUCAGGGUUCAGUCCGGACAAUCCCACUGGGGAGUCCCAAAAAAGGCAAAGCUGUCUCCUGCCAGAUAAUCCCGACAACAAGAGUCAUUUGGGCGACGUCCAAAUCUUUGUGCUGGAGGAAGGUGAGCAAUGAAGGACUCACAGGCCUAAGAACAACUUGGGGGUAGAUGAAGCUUCAUGUUCCCCGUCCCACCCUGACAGGGACGACUCUCUCUGGAGGACAGCGCUGCGGCGACACCAUGCUGAGGCUGUGGUCACUGCGAAGAGGAAGCUCCUUCACCUUCCUCACCCCAGGACCACAAUGGGACUUCAGUCUGAAGAGGAGACACAGAGGGAAGGAUGGCGGCGGCGACG
rnacentral:lncRNA from 1 species